GGGUCAGUAGGUUGGUCGUGCCACCGGUACGUACUGGUCUCACUGAUUCCUCCUCCCUGGAGAACCGUAAUGCCAUUAAUUUGGUGUUGCGGGGAAACAGGACUGUUACUUUGAAAAAAUUAGAGUGUUCAAAGCAAGCUAACGCUUGAAUACAUUAGCAUGGAAUAAUGAAAUAGGACGAUCGGUCCUAUUUUGUUGGUUUCUAGGAUUGACGUA
rnacentral:rRNA from 1 species